GCAAGUCGAGGGGCAGCACAAGGAGCAAUCUGAGGUGGCGACCGGCGCACGGGUGAGUAACACGUAUGCAACCUGCCUGUAAGCGGGGAAUAACCCGUUGAAAGACGGACUAAUACCGCAUAAUACUAAAUUACUGCAUGGUAAUUUAUUUAAACAUUUAUGGCUUACAGAUGGGCAUGCGCAUGAUUAGCUAGUUGGAGAGGUAACGGCUCCCCAAGGCAACGAUCAUUAGGGGUUCUGAGAGGAAGGUCCCCCACACUGGUACUGAGACACGGACCAGACUCCUACGGGAGGCAGCAGUGAGGAAUAUUGGUCAAUGGACGAGAGUCUGAACCAGCCAAGUCGCGUGCAGGAAGAAUGUUCCCUAUGGAUUGUAAACUGCUUUUGCAGGGGAAUAAAGUGCAUCACGUGUGAUGUUUUGUAUGUACUCUGCGAAUAAGGAUCGGCUAACUCCGUGCCAGCCGCCGC
rnacentral:rRNA from 1 species